rnacentral:lncRNA from 1 species
UCUAAACAUAUCUGGAUCUCGAGGAGAGGUCUCUGCUACUGCUUCAAAUUUUCUUGUAAGCUCAAGUAGAAAUACAUGUGUCAGGAGUAAUCCCUCUGAAACUGUAAGCCCAGCUGCCUUUUCUGCGGGAACUGUUGUCAGGCGACCUGUCCCUCCACCGCACUCUAACUUAUCAAGACUUGUACCAUCAGAUCAUCAUGGACAAUCCCUAGGAAAUAUCUUCUCACGGAACCCAAAUCCUCCUGCACCUGUUUCAAGGAAUAUGCUACCACCAUUUCAGUGGACUGAGAGCUCACUAGCGGGUGAAUCAUUCAACUCCACCGUGCCCACUGAGAGAAAUAAUCUUCAUCUAGAAGACACCAGGUCAAGAAGCAUAACAGCAGCGAGUGUUCUAGAGAAUCCCUUGUUUAAUCCAGCUCCUGACCUCAGCAGAAAUGCUAACCUGAGUAUUGCAUCAUCAUCAUCAGUGUCCAGGACAGGCUCAAGCACAGGUGUUCAAGCACCAUCUUCUAAUCUAGCGUGGACGCCUCACCGGAAUUUACCACCUCACCAAAGAAGAAGAUCGGAACUUGCCCAUAGGUCAUUGAUUUCUUCCCUUUCUGCAGAUGCGAGAUCUGGUGAUCAUCAUCCACCACUUCGUUCGUUGGCUCCUCCUGCCCCUCAGGAUGGGCUUGUGCUUCAGCCUGGUGGUGGUGAUAGUAGCCGGGCAUACUCGAGAGCAGGUCUGUGGCUUGAUAGACAAGUGGAUAGUUUGGUUGGGGCUCCUCAAUCUUUAAGGGCUUUGGCAGCUGCAAGCAGAGGAAGAAACAGACUUAUGGUAUCCCAGGUCAGUUCAUACAAGUUCGGUUAACCUUGAUGGUUUUUGUUAGACUGACAGUGAGUCUCUUUGAAACAGAUGCAGAAUAUCUUGGAAGUGAUGCGGAGGGAUCCGAAUCAUAACUUGCGGCUUGAGGUUAGUUUCUCCUUGGGGCGGGCUCAGUAGAAUAAACAGUGUUCUAAAAUUACAAGUGAACUUGUCUUCUCUCUGUCUCUGUUGAACUUUAAAAAGUAAUGUGAAUUGCUUGAUUGUCCAGGACGUUAUGCUUCUGAAACCUUAAUUAAAAAAUUAGUAAACAAAAAUAAUGGUAAUUAUAUAUGAUAUUUUUAAUUAAAUAAAAGUGCUUUGUAAUUUUAUUUUGUAAAAAUUAACUAAAAACGACACAUAGGAAAACCUAAGUAUCAAUAUUUACUUGUUCUUGGUACUGAAAACGUUGGUGAGGAACUGAGGAUGUAUGUGGAAUCACUGGAGAAGAAGAUGCCUAAGUCAAUUAGUGGUCAUGAAAUAUAUUGAGUGGUUGUCGACUGGGUUGUGUUAACAAACACAUAGAAAACUUAAUUAAUGGGCCUUCGAGUGAAUAUAUUUUUUUGUUCUUAGUGGCAAGAAUAUUUUGUUGAAGUAUCAAUAUUUGAUUGGCCUGACUUUUCUUUAAUUGUUACUAUCUAAGUUCCAAUUUUUGAUAUUUUUAUAUAACAGAAAUUACAAAAGUCUGUAUUGUGAGUUUCAACUAUUCACAUCCAUAGGACCAUAUAACAUGAUGUUUCACGGACUAAACAUUACCAACAUAUUUAUUUUACUAUAUACUUUGCUAUAUAUAUAUUUAUCAAACAUUUUUAUAUUCCAAAAUAAAAGAGCGAAAUUACAUUUAUUUUCAUAAUUAAAAAAUAUUGCGUAUGAAAUAUGUUUUAGUAUUUACAUAAUUUCAAACACAAAAAAAUUACUUCUAUAGUUUUCAUUAAUUGUGUUUGGGUUUAUAGAAUUAAAACCAAAAAUUCAUUAUGAUUUUUUCCAUAAAUGAAAUAAAAAUAUGCAUGACCAGAAUGAAAUUGCCACUUGAAGUUGUUUCUUUUUUUUUUUUUUGAAACACGGAAUUGUGUCUAAAAAAUCAAGUUAUGUAGGGGGUGUGAACCUGAUCAUUUGUAUUUUAGGCUAAAAAAAAUUAUAUAAAGAAUAAAUAAAAUUGAUUGCGAAUUAUUUAUAACAUGAUACACUUUCUACAAAACGUUUUUUUUAUAGAUUUUGUUUUUUAAUUUUAAAUUCAUAAGCUGAUAAUCAGUGCCGGUCAUAAAAAUUUAAGACCAAGUUUGUAAACUUGAGAUUUUACCAUUAGACCUAAAAAAACGAUUGAAAAUAUGUGGCCGAAAAUAUAUUUAUUGUGAAGCGGCCAAAAACCACUGAUUUCUUUGUUUAAGUCCAAGGGCCGGCUCUGCUGAUAAUCUCUGGGAGUAGAAAAUUUAAGUAAAUAAUAUUUCUAAUGAACAAAUGUCAUCUUGUGUUUAUUUUUAGUUGAGAAUCUAAUGAAAUUAAAGAAAAAAGAAAGGCAAGGAUAUGAAAAGAUAAGCAAUCAGAAAGCACACCAAAUGACCAAAGUUACAUGGUAACAAAAGGAAAGAAACCAAAUCUGUUGGUUUAGUUUGGUUCGGUUUAGUUAAAUUCAAAAAACAAAGAGAGGAAAAUUGAAAAACGAGGGACGUGUGAAGAAGCAAAGGCUAAGAACUUGCCAGCUUGCUGCUGUCUCCUCUUCAAACAAUUUAAUUUAUAGUAUAAAAAAAUUUUUAAUAAGUUUUUUUGUUGGUAUUCGUUGAUUAAGGCUAAGCUUAUUGAAUUCUCCUCUUUGGAAACUGCUCUUAUGACUGACCAUUUUGCUUUCUUUCUUUCUUUAUUUUUCCUUUUCAUAAAAAAAUAUACAUUUUUAAGUUUUCCUAACGUGAAUUAAAACAUUGCCGUCUCUUCCUCUGCCUAAUAAUCAAUCCUCCCUUCCUCUUCUCUCUCUGCAACAAAGCGGUACGUUCUCUCUCUCUCUUCCUCAAGUUUUGUUCUUUCUUCUCAUCCCAAGAUUAAUUUAGAUCGGUUAUGUUUUUCUAUUUUCUUUUUAUUGUUGGGUUUUGAUUUUGUCAUAUCUGGGACUUAUCAUUCGGAAUUGAGAAGAAUCUCUGUUGAAACCGAUUGUUCUAAAGUUGGCUCCUUUAUGUAUAGAUCUCUAAUCAACUUUUGUUUGUUUUGAUAGAAAGCUCUCUUCUUUACCCUUUAUUGAUGAUAUCUUCAUCUUCUGAUUCUGUCUUGUGGGUUGUUUGCCUGACCGACCGACCACCAUGCCUUUAUCUUCCUUCAAGCUGUUUGCUAGCUCUUGGGACUUUGUGACACUUAACUUCCUUUGCUUGUUGUUUUGUCAACCUCUGUCUCUAGGUGUCAAAUUGAUACUUCAUUCACCUCUUAUGAAGUCAUAUGUCAUCUGUUAUGAAUUGUGUUUUACUUGGCCAACUAAUCUAUGAGUCAGUGAGUUGUUUUAAGCUAUUGUGUGAUUUUAUUUGUAAUUACAGUUCUAGGAACUAUGUUUUCAUUGAGAGCAUUUGAGUGUGUUUAUGAGUUUCUUCCUUUUUCAUUCACAAUUUAACUUUUCUUUGUUACUGAAUGAUUUAUACUGUCUUUGUUCUUUUUUUCAGUCUCCACGUUAGGCAGGCACAUUGCUAGAGGAGCAAAGAAAGUCUCGCGAGUCCUCCUCUUCUCCCAAGUGUAACUGUGGUUAAACUUUAGCCGAGAUGCAGGGAGAGAGGGCCAGUCUCGGCUAUUUAUCAGAGGGCUUAAACUUUGAGCAUGGUUCCACCUCCAGUAAUGGUUUGAUGGAUCACUGGGACGGUCUUGGUGAUAACGACUUGCAGGACUACAUGAUUGCAAAUUCUGAAUCUCUCGCUCACUCGGUUUACCCUGAACAACAUAGGUUUAGCCUCGGCGAGGAGGCUAGCUCUAGUGGCACGAAGAAUGAAGCUUCCGGUCACAAUGAGCAACUAAGAAAUGAAAUAAUUGAUUUAGACUCAGAUUCUGAACAACCUUCUGGGGACAAUCAGAAUGUCAACCUGAAUGCAGAAUAUAUUGAACUUGACGAGGAUAUUGAUGUGGUUGAAGCUAACGGAUCAGGGAACAGGGCUUCACAACCUGGCAGACCUUUCCAAGAGACUAGUGUUAGAACAGGUUCUUCUGUUGAUGCAUCCUGCAAGAGGAAGGCUAUUGAAGGCAGUAGUAGUGGUCAGUCUUCUUUAGGUGGUUACCAUCACGGAGAAAGCAGCAGUUCGUGGACCCCAGUUUCUACCGAGUAUAGGUCAGUAAAUGGUCUAAACAUAUCUGGAUCUCGAGGAGAGGUCUCUGCUACUGCUUCAAAUUUUCUUGUAAGCUCAAGUAGAAAUACAUGUGUCAGGAGUAAUCCCUCUGAAACUGUAAGCCCAGCUGCCUUUUCUGCGGGAACUGUUGUCAGGCGACCUGUCCCUCCACCGCACUCUAACUUAUCAAGACUUGUACCAUCAGAUCAUCAUGGACAAUCCCUAGGAAAUAUCUUCUCACGGAACCCAAAUCCUCCUGCACCUGUUUCAAGGAAUAUGCUACCACCAUUUCAGUGGACUGAGAGCUCACUAGCGGGUGAAUCAUUCAACUCCACCGUGCCCACUGAGAGAAAUAAUCUUCAUCUAGAAGACACCAGGUCAAGAAGCAUAACAGCAGCGAGUGUUCUAGAGAAUCCCUUGUUUAAUCCAGCUCCUGACCUCAGCAGAAAUGCUAACCUGAGUAUUGCAUCAUCAUCAUCAGUGUCCAGGACAGGCUCAAGCACAGGUGUUCAAGCACCAUCUUCUAAUCUAGCGUGGACGCCUCACCGGAAUUUACCACCUCACCAAAGAAGAAGAUCGGAACUUGCCCAUAGGUCAUUGAUUUCUUCCCUUUCUGCAGAUGCGAGAUCUGGUGAUCAUCAUCCACCACUUCGUUCGUUGGCUCCUCCUGCCCCUCAGGAUGGGCUUGUGCUUCAGCCUGGUGGUGGUGAUAGUAGCCGGGCAUACUCGAGAGCAGGUCUGUGGCUUGAUAGACAAGUGGAUAGUUUGGUUGGGGCUCCUCAAUCUUUAAGGGCUUUGGCAGCUGCAAGCAGAGGAAGAAACAGACUUAUGGUAUCCCAGGUCAGUUCAUACAAGUUCGGUUAACCUUGAUGGUUUUUGUUAGACUGACAGUGAGUCUCUUUGAAACAGAUGCAGAAUAUCUUGGAAGUGAUGCGGAGGGAUCCGAAUCAUAACUUGCGGCUUGAGGUUAGUUUCUCCUUGGGGCGGGCUCAGUAGAAUAAACAGUGUUCUAAAAUUACAAGUGAACUUGUCUUCUCUCUGUCUCUGUUGAACUUUAAAAAGUAAUGUGAAUUGCUUGAUUGUCCAGGACGUUAUGCUUCUAAAUCAGUCAGGGAUAUUUGAUGGGGCUGCUGGUAUGCAUGACCGAUAUAGAGACAUGCGGCUUGAUGUAGACAACAUGUCAUAUGAGGUUAAAGCCAUUAACAAACGAUAAAUUCUGUCUGGUGGUCAUGUUAGAUCGUUAAAACCUCACUCACUCCUGUUGGUUCAUAAACUUUAGGAACUGCUGGCACUAGAAGAGCGGAUUGGAGAUGUGUGUACAGGUGUAAACGAAGAAACCAUAUCAAACCGGUUGAAGCAGAGUAAAUACAAAAGCAGCACAAAAUCUCCAGAAGAUGCAGAGCCAUGCUGUAUUUGUCAGGUACGAGUUGCUGCAAAUCAUAAUAUAACAAGAAAGAUUAUGUUUCUUUUUUCGUGCGAGUGUGAAUGGUGAAACUUGGUGGUGUAGGAGGAAUACACUGAGGGAGAUGACAUGGGCACGUUAGAAUGUGGGCAUGAGUUCCAUAGCCAAUGCAUAAAAGAAUGGCUGAAACAGAAGAAUCUCUGCCCAAUUUGCAAGACGACAGGCUUGAACACAGCCAAGAAGCGUAAAAUAGGAUGAAUGAGAGCUUCUUCUUUUUUUUUGUAUUUGUUUUUACAAUUCAGCUUAUGAACAAAAAAUGAAAGAAACAAAAAAAGACACCCUCAAGCUUCCUUCCACCAGUGCAGAGCCUCUCACCGGAAAUGCCUCCACAGGCUAGUUGGUCCCUUUUGUUUGUUCUAGUAGUCUGAAUAUGCAUUAUAUGAUUUUAAGGAUCAUGAUAUGGUUUGUGAUUGAAGGUAGAGAUAAAGGGUGAUAGGGGAAUGUUGGGAGAAUGUAUUUGCUUUUUUCGUUUCUGGAUUGGUAUGGAUAAUUUAAUUUACUCAUUUGUCAAUUAAUGUAUGAAUCCAUUGAAAGAAGUAGCAGGAUGUUGAGUCAGCCAGUUUAGAGAGCUCUCCCUUUGUACCUGUUACAAAACUUUUUUGUGUUGCCGGACAUAUUCAUAUUUUCUUAAACAUUAUACUACAUGGUCGGUCCACACAUAUAGUCUAUAUAUAUAAUAAAGCUAAUAUACUCUUUAAGACUAUAACCAAAAAGAGACUAAAUUUUGUAAUUAAUUUUGAUAAGUUUUGAAUUAUAAUAUAAAAUAUUGUAAUAAGAACUGGUCCUCUUAGUAAGUUGAUCAAGCAAUGGCUUAAAAUUUAGAAACUCGUUAAGAAGCUAAUUUCCCAAGAGAUUAGUUGGUUCAAAUGAUUAUGAAGUAUGGUUCCAUUAGCCUCUGAGUUCGAGUUGCAAAACUUUUUGUGUUCAUUUUUGUUUGUAUUAUAUUACAAAUAUAAUUUGUAGAAUCAUAAAUUGAAGGGAAGCAAUUUCAAGAUUGGAGAUCUUAAAAGAAGGUGAAAGAGGAAGUGGAUUGGUGGUUUCUUGUUCAGGAGCAAGAGAAUGAGAUCGAUGAAAAAGACUUGAUGAGAUUCGUGAGACAGAAAUGACAGGGAAAUGGAUCCCUCCUCCUAUGCCUUGGUUUAAAUGUAAUGUUGCCUAUUCGUGGGCAUCGGCUAUCAAAGGGGAGGUGGUGGCGUGGUGCUUGGCUUCUAAGAAAUCAUGAAGACAAAUUUAUAUUAUAUAGCAAAAAAAUAUUUUCUUUGUGAACAACUCAAGCAGAUUUAAAUUUCAGAUUUUCAUUUGGUCAGCGGAAAUUAUGAAAAGUCAUAAAGUAAACCAGGUGAUUUUUGCGAUUGUUGCAUUGUGGAUGUGAUUAUUAAAUCAAAAAACAUUGGCCUUUAUUCAGGUUUCAGUACUCAAAGAUCAUGCACCAGUUAAGGAACAUUGAAUGGUAGGGGGUGGUAAGAGAGAAAAAACAAGGAACAUAAGAUCAAAGUGUGAUAAAGGAAGGCUUUACACAUUCCUAUAUAGCCAGUUGUCAUAUAUAGGAUAUCUAUGCUGGUUAAAAAAGCUCUUUGAUGGUGCUAUAAUUCAUCCCUUGGUUUAAUUGGUUUUGGUUAGUAUUGGAACACUGUGUUGGAACAUGGAGUUAUCCUUCUUGUUUGACUUUCCUAGGCACUUUGUGUCGAUGAUUGUAGAAUUUUGGGAUAUGUGUUAUAUGGUUUCCACAUCAUUGUUAAAAACGAAUUAUGAAUCUUGUAGACCUUUGGUGAUUAACACAAAUUUUCAGAUUUUUGAAGAGAAGAAAAGUAUCUAGAUAGUGGACUCGACCAACUUAGUCUCUGAGAGACACAAAGUAUAACAGCUUCAAGAACAACAGUGUCUUUCACAAGGUAUCCCUUUGCUUCUAUCUUUUAGCUCCUCUAGUGAUAUAGUAUUAGGUCCUAACUUUCUUAUAUUUUACCAUCUCAAAAUGAAUCUAUCUCUUACAUGUUUUCUCGACAUGGUUAGUGUUUUUCUGAUUCGCAGCUUGAACUUUGCGUAGAUGCUAAAGAAAACUACUAUAAACUACUAUAUACACUUAUUAUAAUAUCAAUUUGGAUUAGAACAUGUUUUGCGGAUCAAACUCAAAACCAUGUAACUAAGCUUAAUGGUUUCAGGACAAAAAGGACUUGAUCUCUUUCUUUUCAAGAACCAGGACAGAUGUUAUAACUGUACAGAUGCAUAAUUCAUGUACAGUUAAAACACACAUCUAGAUCGAUUCAACAGGAAACUAAACACACAAGACUUCUCCAUUCAUUUAUUAUUAGCAGAACUUCGAGCUAAAGGUGAAAGCAAGCGACGUUCUACACAUUGGUUCUAAGCGUUCUCAGAUAUAAUACUAACCACAAGACUUAAAGGAGCUUCCACCUUGUAAAAUUGUGAGUCUGGAAUAUAAUCUACAGAGGAAACAUAAAAUGAUAUGAACACAUACAUCUCAGACAAGACAGAGAAAGAAAUGUUGUACUUUCGGUCGGAAUAGAAACAGAGAGGUGUUUUACAGAGAUGGAUUUCAACCAUAUGAUCCCGUUGAGGGUUUAGAAGAUGAAGAUCAUGAGUCAAGUAAUCAUGUUCAGAUUAGUUUGAACAUGAAGCCAUCUUUGCAUAAGCAACAUGUUCGGUUAGUUUCGCAUUAUGUUCGAUUAGUUAUACAUUAUGCAGUAAGCUUCCAUGAUCAAUCAUUCAAAAAUCUAAGAAAAUGUAUUUUAUCAAAAAACGCUUUUAAAAGAAAAAUACUUGUAAGAAAAACUGAAACUAAAUGAAUAUAAUGUGAAGAUAAACAACCAUGAUCUCUAACAAUCAAAAAAAUUGACAGGACAUCAUGUUCAAAAAUACUCACAUUAUGCACUUAGCUUCCGUAAUCAAAUCAUUCAAAAACCUAAGAAAAAUGUAUUUUAUCAAAAAAACCUUUAAGAAAAACAAAUGAUUUUCACAAAAUUUGGAAAUUAAUUAGAAAGAUAAAUGAACAUAAUAUGUAGACUACUAUGAUAUAUCAAAAAUGACAACAAGACAUCAUGUUCUAGAUUAGUUCCACAUUAUGUAAUUAUACGUUCAUACUCAAUCAUUUAAAAAACUUAUAAAAAAAAGUUUUUUUAUCUAAAUAAAAAGAAGAAAAGAAAGAGGAUAAGAGAUUAUCACCUAAAGGAGGAGGUUGGUGAUUGUGAAUGGAUCUCGAUGACCUCGUGUUCCCGUUGGAGUCGGUGGGAGUGUGGCUUCCUCCCUCUCUCUCUCUCGGUUCUGGUCAGCUCCGGCGAUUCUUCCCAUAUGCAGCAUCUUUAAACCAUAAGCGCGGCCUCCUGUUUCACAGACUUCCAAAAAAAAUACAUAUCAUCACGAUUUGUUUUCGAUUCAUACACGACAAUGUUAAUGUUGAUGGAAAAACACACAUAAAAUUAAAAAAAAAAGACAGAUCUGACCGUUGGAGUCGGUUGGAUUUUGGCUUCCUCUCUCCGAUGUCACCGAGCGCACGACUAUUCUUCACAUCAUCCGCCACCUGUUACAGAGAUUCCAAAAGAACAUAUACAUAAAUAUACACCAUCACAAAAAAUAUAUAUAUAUAAAAAAAAAUAUAUACCAUCACGAUCUGUUCGAGAUCAUGCCACAAAAUAUUGACGAAAAGACAUAAAAUAAAUAAAAAGAAAGACAGCGAAGAAGAGAUAGAUACCUCCGACUUGAUCAGGCAUGUUUGUUUGAAUCUUGUCGCCAUUAUGUCUUUCUCCUACAGAGUCUUCUUUCUCCGACAGAGUCUUUAACUCUUGUUGGUCUUUUAUUUUACUUGUCUCUUCGCAAAGAGUCUGUGAGAAUAAUUGAGAGGAUGAGAGGUUUAUGGUGAAAGAAGGCAAGAAGAGCUCUUCUUAUAUAGAGGAGCGCCCAACGGCUCAUUUUCAUUUACAACGGUCUUAUUUUUUAAGUAAUUUGUAUUCGUUCGAUGUUUAUUAAUCUUUUUACUAACAGGUCUAUUACAGCGGUCUUAUUUUUAAAGUAAUUUGUGUUCGUUCGAUGUUUAUUCAGCCUUUUCAAUUACGGAUCAAUUAAUAUAUAUAUAUAUAUAUAAGUCAUUUCUUGACAUGAACAAUUCUUUAUAAAAAAAUAAAGGGAAAAUUUGAAAAAAUACUUCUAAGUGAGAUUAUAUUUUGAAAAUUAGGCCUUUUUCAUUUUAUUUUGAAAACUACAUUUAUUUAUAAUUGAAAUGACUAAACUAUCCAUUUUUAAAUCUUUAUAGUUAACUAAUAUCUAAAUUACUAUUUUAUUUUAAUACAGAAAACAAUGCGUUUAAAAAAUGUUUUAAAACAAAUCUAACAUUUCAUAAAUUUAAAACAGAAAACAAUGGAUUUUGUUCUUUUCGACAAUGCUCUUAUCUUUAUAAUAUAAGAUAGUUAAUUUGCUUCUACUCACUGCUUCCUAAACAAACUCUUCGACGUUUCAUCACAGUUAGCAAUAACAUAAUUGUUCAUAGGAUCUUUUAUAAACAAAAAAAACAAUCAGUCAAUGAUACUGUUUCCAAAUAACUAAAUGAUCUUUUGUUUGAUCUAAAGAUUGCUUUUGUUUUGAUAUACACACAUAUGAAACAACCCAGACAAAAAUCUGAGAAUCAAACAAUGUGUUGAUAUAUUUCUUUAUAAAAUUUUAUUCUUUACUUUAAAUUUUUGCUCUGACUAGCAUAGCACAAAACAAUUUGAGAGAAGAGAUAAUAUUAUGUGAGUUUUGGGCACAUGGAAAGUGAAUAUAAACUCUUGUAGAUAAUUUUUCAUGUGCUUUUUCACCAUUCUUAAAAUGUUCGAAUUGUAUGCUUUUAAGAUUUUAGAAUUAAUUAUUAAAAUUUUCAAUAUCUAGUUAACACCAGGACAAAAGUGUCUUAUCACAUAAAACCGCCCAACGGCUCAUUUUCAUUUACAACGGUCUUAUUUUUUAAGUAAUUUGUAUUCGUUCGAUGUUUAUUAAUCUUUUUACUAACAGGUCUAUUACAGCGGUCUUAUUUUUAAAGUAAUUUGUGUUCGUUCGAUGUUUAUUCAGCCUUUUCAAUUACGGAUCAAUUACAACGGUCCUAUUUAAAUAAGUAAACAUAUAUAACGGGUCAAUAUAACGUUAGUUUCGAGAAGAAAAUAAAUUACGUUUAUUGAGGCCCAAUCAAAUAUUUAACAAAAUAAUAAAUGUUAUUAUUAUUCUUAUAAUAAUAAAGUCAUAAAUGAUAUUAUUAUUAUUUGCAUUGGUGACACUAAUUAUUAUUAUUAUUCACAUGCAGCUUUCUUCACACACUUAUAUUAUCGAUUCACAUAAAGUUUAUGUAUUUGCUGCAAUGUUACCUAUACUCAACUAAGUGUCACUCAUUGGUCAACAAUUACAUUUAUUUUUUGUUCAGACAAAUCCAGUCUCUAGUCCUCCAAGAUUAAAAUGUAGUGACUAUAUAUAUAUAUAUAUAUAUAUAUGCGGGCUCAGUAGAAUAAACNNNNNNNNNNNNNNNNNNNNNNNNNNNNNNNNNNNNNNNNNNNNNNNNNNNNNNNNNNNNNNNNNNNNNNNNNNNNNNNNNNNNNNNNNNNNNNNNNNNNNNNNNNNNNNNNNNNNNNNNNNNNNNNNNNNNNNNNNNNNNNNNNNNNNNNNNNNNNNNNNNNNNNNNNNNNNNNNNNNNNNNNNNNNNNNNNNNNNNNNNNNNNNNNNNNNNNNNNNNNNNNNNNNNNNNNNNNNNNNNNNNNNNNNNNNNNNNNNNNNNNNNNNNNNNNNNNNNNNNNNNNNNNNNNNNNNNNNNNNNNNNNNNNNNNNNNNNNNNNNNNNNNNNNNNNNNNNNNNNNNNNNNNNNNNNNNNNNNNNNNNNNNNNNNNNNNNNNNNNNNNNNNNNNNNNNNNNNNNNNNNNNNNNNNNNNNNNNNNNNNNNNNNNNNNNNNNNNNNNNNNNNNNNNNNNNNNNNNNNNNNNNNNNNNNNNNNNNNNNNNNNNNNNNNNNNNNNNNNNNNNNNNNNNNNNNNNNNNNNNNNNNNNNNNNNNNNNUUAAGUAUUAUGACAUAUGUUAUUCAAAUUUAUACGUAAUAUAUUAUUUUAUUUAUACAUUUUGAGAAAUUUAAAAUAUAUAAUGAUUUAAGACUUUAAAAAUAAUUUAAAUUAGUUAUCCAAACCCAAACCAAACCCGCAAAGAUCCAAAUCGAACUCAAACCAAAAUUUAGAAACAUUCUAAUAAGGCUGAAAUCUUUGACCCCGAAAACCCAAAAUACAAACCGAUCAGAACUAAACCCGUAUGGGUAUCCAAAAGCCCAUCCCUAGUCAUUAUUAUAUAUCGUAUUUUAUCAUCAUAUAAUUAAUCGUAUUUUAUAUGUACCAUCAUAUAAGUAAUCAUAUAAUUAAUAGUAUUUUAUACAUACCAUCAUAUAAAUAAUUACAUAUAUUAUAUUUUUAAAACUUAAUAUGAAAUAUGAAAACCAUAAUUUGAGUUGGUAUUUCAAAUUGGGCUUUGUAUUAUAUUUUUCUUAUAUAUAUUGACAAUAUUUUUUUAUAAUGGUUAUUGAAAAAUAGUUUAGUAAAAAUCCAUUUUUGAAUAUAUGUAUAUUUUUGAAUCAAUUUUUGAUAUAAAUCAAAUUUGAAUUAUUAUUUUGAUUUGAAAUAUGUAUAUAAAGUUUAAAUUUUGUUUUAUGGUUAGUUUAGAAAAAAAAAUUUUAGGGAAUUAGAUUGACCCAUUUUGGUAUAUUUUAAAAGUGGCCUAGAUAACUUUCAAUUUUUUUAAAAAACAUAAGCCCAUUACUUUUUUUCAUAAUACUACUAUCCUUGUUUUCAAACAAAAAUAUUUUUUUUUAAAAGACUGCAAUCCAUGUUUCCAAACACUCCAAAUUUUUAAAAGUCCUAUUCAAGUAUCCAAACACUCCAAUUUUGUACUUGAGUUUUAAUAAGAUAGAUGUAGUUUUCAAAAAAUAAAAAUAAAAAUGUAUUUUUCAAAAUUUAAAUCACAAAUAGAGUAUUUUUCAAAUAAAUAUGGGAACUCUGUCGUCAUAACAAUGAUUCUCUGUGCAAAUUCCUUGUACCAAAUAUAUAGGGGGAUUGUUUCACAAAAAAAAAAGUGGGCGCGCAAUGAAAAGAUGUUAACCUGUUAGGGCGAGUUUUUUUUCUUCUGGUUAUAAAUUGGGAUGAAAUUUUAGUGUAGUAUUUUUCUUGUAAUAAACAAAUUUCCACUUGAAGAUCCUGUUAAGAUUUAUGAUUUUUACGUGAUUUUCCAAAAUGACAAAAAAGUGGAAAUAACUCGAUCGAGCACUAUUAAUCAUUUGAGGCAGUUCUCAACACCUAUCACCUAUGGGAUUCGUCAAGUGAUAUGUCUCCGGCCUAACACUAGGUUUUACAAAAAAACAUGUAUGAAUAAUAUUGACUUCUGUAUGGAGACCAGCCUCCAUUCUAUGACCAUCGCAAUAUCAAAAUUUAAAAAUAAUAAAAUCGUGGCAAAAUAUUUAAAUAUUUAUUCAUUAUAUAAGCACCCAAAGCUAACAUGAUGACUUAACUUGCAAAACAACUCUUCCAGGUUUAGAAGCUAAAUAUUAACGUUGACCACUAAACCACAAUAAUAAAGAUAUGUGUACAACCGAAAAAUAUUUUGUGCUGGAUCCGAGAGAAGCAACCUUCUCGGAUCUUGCAUGUUUUCUCUUCUCCUCGGAUCUCAGGAAUAGAAAGUUCAUCGAUUCUUCUGAACAGAAGCUUGAGGAUGAUCUUUGCAGAUUCCGGCGACGGUGGAUCAUCUUUGUAUCCAUCGUUAUUCAAAAACUCAUGAUUCUUCUAAGGAAACCUCUCUACUUUUUGGGAUUCUAUAUUUCUUUUUGGUUGAAUCUUCUUUCUUCCAAUGGUGGCUUCUUUAAGAUCCUCCCAAAUCUUUUCAAAGGUCAGAUCUACUUUGGACUUCUUGUUUUAUACGAUUUGGUGUAAGUUCUGUUAAUUACAUUAAACAUAAAAUAAGGUUAGACCUAAACGACACGUAUAAUUUCUUUAUUUUCUUCUAAAUGUCAAACGGAAACAGUGAUUUUAAUAGAUCAAUAAUUGUCGCUUAGUAUGAAUUGUUCUUCACAAAUGAUCUUGCGUGACUAAGUUAGUAAGUUACUCUAAAGGGAUUUUCUGCUUUAUCAAGUAUAUAUCUCCUAUAAUUAGUUCAAUGUUGAAACUACAUUUGAGACUAAACCUACAUUUAAACGCAACUAGGACCUCAUGUGUUGUGCAACCAGCCAGCGAUUAAAAUUAAGUUAAAAAUGGUUUAAUUUGUAUGAAUAUGUGCAAGUACUAUUAAGUUAUUCUAGUUUUUUUGUGCAAAAUCUACUAUUUAAAUAUCGUCACCGUUUGUUUAACAUUUAUACUUUCUGUAACUAAUUCAGGUAAGAUUAUAUGGCCGGAAAAAACAUCAGCGACAUUUGCAUCUUUAAUCGGAAACCUAGACCGGCGAGUAGAGUUAGACCGGAGAAUAGAGAGAGGAAGUAAAAGAUACAAAGCAAUGUUGUCAAUUAUGGCUUCUAAGCUUUCUUACGAGAACACAAACUUUGUCAGCUCUGUCCUUCACAACCAUUGGAAGGUUUUAACUUUUAAUAAUAAUCUCUUUUCUUUUUGCUAAGUAUCUUUUUUCCUUCAUAUUUUUCUCACAACUCUCACUAUCAAAAAUAAUUCAAGGUUGCAUAGGGUUAUAUUCUAGUAAAUAAAACGUAACAGUCAAGAUUGUCAUCGAUGACUCGUCUAAAGGUUCUUUCAAAGCAAUUAUCCAACAAUUCUUUGUAAAAGUAUUUAAAAAUUAUGUCAAAAUAAGGCAACUGAUGCGUACUGUUUUACCUGUAUCUUCAUUUCGUCGAAAUAUUUAAGUGCAUCUUUAGAACAUGAUCACGCAUGAUUAUCUUUGAGACAGAAAUUAAUACAAUACAAUAAUUAAAAAUUAUAUGUUAGACUUUUUAAUCGCUAUUUGUUAAUUUAUUCCUGGAACAGAUGGACUUAUUGGGUUUCUACAGCUGUUGGAAUGGUGAGGAAAAAUAUAUGACUCAAUCUCUAUACAUAUUUUGCCAAAAGAAAGAGGGUCUAUACAUGUCUUUAUUCUCAUUUUCUAUAGAAUUCUACAAGAUUAUGCCUUAAUUCUUUAAUAUUUUUAGGAUAUUAAAAUUUUGACUUGUAUCAAGUAUCAAGAAUAGUGACCAAAAAAAUUAUUAUAUAUAGAAUAUUUACAUAAUUUUUGGUGUUUUUUCUUCAGAGAGUAAUAUUUAUUUUCUUCGGAGAGUAAUACUUUAUUAUUUGGGUUUCUUAGGUUACCAGAAACAGAAGUCAACGGAAGUGAUUGUUAUAAAAGACACAAGCACGUAUCCGAACCUCAUCGUCGUCAGUUUCAGAGGCACCGAUCCUUUCGACUCCGAUGAUUGGUGUACCGACUUUGAUCUUUCCUGGUAAGCUUUUUUUAUUUUUUAUUUGCUUUAAUAUACUCUUCUUUUGGACAUUGUUUCGAUAAUCUCCAAACAUAAAUCAUUGUUCUUAGUUCACUUUAGGUUGGAGUCUAUUCAGUUUAGGGUCGUUGAUUGGUUCCUCUAGUUACACCAAUGUUGAUUUUCAAAAUAGGUACGAGAUUAAGAAUGUGGGAAAAGUACAUGGUGGAUUCAUGAAAGCUUUAGGCCUUCAAAAAGAAGGAUGGCCUAAAGAUGUAAAUUUUGACCAAACCCAAAAUGAAACAACUCAAUAUGCAUACUAUACUAUUAUGCAUCACUUAAAAGAGAUCCUCGAUCAAAAUCCAGCAUCCAAAUUUAUCUUGACUGGACAUAGCCUAGGUGGAGCCCUAGCGAUCCUAUUCACGGCCGUGUUGAUGAUGCAUGACGAAGAGCAAAUGCUAGACAAGCUCGAAGGAGUUUACACAUUUGGGCAGCCCCGCGUAGGAGAUGAGGAGUUUGGAAAGUUCAUGAAAAAUUCACUGAAGAAGUAUGAGGUUAUGUACGAAAGAUACGUGUAUUGCAAUGACAUGGUUCCUAGGUUGCCUUUUGACGACAAAACACUCAUGUUCAAACACUUUGGGGCAUGCCUUUACUAUGACAGUUUCUAUAGAGGAAAGGUUAGUUUCAAACUAGUAUAAUUUUUUUGAUAAAAAAAAAACUAGUAUAAUUUAUGUUUUUUUUUCUUUGAGUUGAUCACUAAUUAGAGAUUUAGGAAACUUUUUUUUUCUAUCUCGUUCCGCACCGUUCCGAAAGUUCUUUCUAACAUGAGAAUAUAGGACUCGGCACGGAUCGAAUAUCCGGGUUUAUAAAGGUAUUUGUGAUUUGUUUCAUAUGUUACGAAUAUCUAAUUUUGCGAUUUGCUUUGCUUCGAAAAAAUAUGAAUCGAAAAAUGGAUAUCUGGAAAAUAAAUAGAUAUUUGCGGAUAUUUAUGAAUACUUACGGAUAUCUCAUCCAUUUUAAUUAAUACAAAUAACUUUAAAAAUUUGAUACAAAUUUGUUUUAAAAGUAUUUUUUUGCAUAAUAUAUAAAAUAAUUUUUUUAAAAAAUAUUGAAACUACAUAUUUUGUAUAUUUUAAACUUAGUUAACAAUCAUAAUAACAGAAAACUUAGAAAAAAUUAUAACACUCAUAAAAAUUUUCUCUUCUUUUUAUAUAAUACUUUUAUGUAAGUAACAAUGUGAAUAUAAUUUUUCAAAUCAUAUGUUAGAAUAAUAAUUAUAUAAACCCAUACAUUUAAAAAUUUAAGUAUAAUCAAGAUAUACAUGUAUUUAUAUAUUGCCGGAUCAGAGCGGAUAUCCAGUUCUCAAAAUUUUAAUAUUUGUGUGCUUUGAAAAUUUAAAUUAACGGAUGUUGAUUUUUAUUAUUUGCUUUGCUUUGAAAAUUUACGGAUAUCCGAAAUUUUCGGAUCAAAUCAAAACGAAUAACAAAUCGAAUCAAAUUUAACGGAUUAAAUGCCCAUGCGACCUAUGAGAAUAUACUCAUGAUGGAAACAAGACUUCUUAUCUCGGAAAUGGGAUCGGACGAGACAGAAACUAGCUGAGAACUUUAUAUAUAAAAAAUUUAGAAAAUGUUAUAUUUAUAAAACUUAUGUAUUUAAAAAAAACUGUUAUCAUUUCAUACAAGUAUAAAAUUUUAUGUAACACUUUUUAAUAUAUACUAGCUUAAGACACGCGCAAUUGCGCGGAAUGUAUGUUAUAUAUAAAAAUAAAUUUUUUAAUAUUUAUUUUUAUUCAUUUAAGUAUUAUGUAUAUAAUUAAAUUAGAGUAAAGACAUAAAUCAAAACAAUGCAUCUUGUUUAUUUACGAUAAUAUUUUGGUAAGUAAAUCAGAACAAUCAUUUUAUUUAUUUUAUAUGGUAUAUAACUAAAUUUCAAUGACAUGUACAUAGAUAUAUACUGUAUUUUAAUAUAAAUAUUUAUUAUUGAGAAUUCAUAUUCAUAUGAUAAACACAAAAUUCUAAUGUGCGAUUUUUUGAAUGUAAAUUUCAAAAUUAAAAUACUAAGGUCUCAAUAUUUUUUAAAUAAAUUUUUUAGAAAUUAUCAUAUUUAAUUAUUUUUCUAUGUUAUAUAGUUUAAUUUUAAACUAUAUUAAUAUAUAAUAUGAAUGUCUAGUAAAUGAGACUUCAUAUUCAUACGAUUUAUGAUCAUUUGUAUUUUGUUAUUACAAAAAAAGUUAAACCAUUGAUCACAAAUUUUAGUGUGAGACAUUUAACUUUUAGUAAUUUAUAGUCGUUUUAAAAAUUCAAAAUAUAACAUAUAAGAAAAAAAUUAAUUUUUUAUAUGGUUAGUGUUGUUGUUUAAUAUCUUUUAAUAAUAUAAAAUUAAAUAAAAAAAGCUAAGAUACACAAAUUAUUAUCAAAUAUUUAUUAUUCAUAAUCAUCAAUUGUCAUAUAUAUGUUAAUUAUAUUAGGUAAUUCUGUAGCUUUUAUUUAAAGAAAGUGUGAGAAUAUUCUUUUGUACACUAUUUAUCAAUUUAAUAGUUAGUUUAAUAAAAAACAUAAUAUAAGUUAAAAUUAACUAACAUAUUUCUCUAAGAAUUUUGAAUUUCAUUCUCAUGGUGACACGUGACUACAAAAUAAUGUUGUAAUAUUUCUCAAUUAAUAUAUAAAAGAUUGUCAUAAAUGGGAAAAUCGAGAAUUCUUGUCUUGUUUUCGCAUGGAUUACCAUUUGCGGACUUCCUUUACUGAUGAAAUUAUAUUCAUUGCUACUGUGUAAUUAUUAUGUUCAGGUAGAGCAAGAGGAGCCGAAUAAAAACUAUUUUAGUAUGUUAUGGGCAAUACCCAAGAUUAUGAACGCAAUGUGGGAGUUGAUGAGGAGUUUCAUCAUACCUUAUUGGAAAGGUGAAGAAUACAGAGAAGGAUGGUUGUUGAAGUGUUUCAGGGUUGUUGCUUUGUUAAUUCCGGGACUACCUGCUCACGCUCCUAAUGAUUACGUCAAUGCUACACUCUUGGGUAACUUACCUGACCUGCACCUUGACUAGAAUAUAAUUGCAUAUAGUUUCCGAAUUCUUUGUAUAAUUAGUUUGUGUCCAACUUUAGAUAAAUGAGGAGUGAAGAAGUAAUAAAAUGAAUAGUAAUGUAUUUGGAGAUUGGACGAUGUUUACAAAUGCAUGGUACAACAUUAACAAAUCCAAACUCGAGAUAGUAGUAUUAUAUGGAAAAAAGCUUAAAAACAUUUGUACUAAAAUAAACCAAUUUUUAUUACAAUAUUAUCAUUUUAACAUACCAAAAACAACACAAGUUAAACCAGCUGAGAUAUGAAAUUGUUCCGAGUAAGACUAUCUAACCGCAUUGGGUGACAAUGCACCAAUUCUGAAGACGGAUAUUUUGCUGGAUUUUAGUCGUGCCUCGUCUCUCGGAAGAAGCUGGAGUAGUAUGCGGUUGAGAAGACAAAGUUGAUCUCACUAGAUGCUUGAUUGGUUGGAGAGUAUUGAGAUCAAUGCCAAAACUUCGUAAAAUUACAUUUAUGUUCAGCUCUCAUCGCAGACCAUUGAUAAGUCUCACCAAAAAGAUAUCAUUGUAUUAGUGAUUUCUUUGAACAAGUGGGAUAGUAUGAAAUAUAUAACAUUACAAAAUUGACAAUUGACAAUUUUCAAUUAAGGGAAAACUAUGUGAUUACUAAAAGUCAUUAUUAUAUAAUAGUUUAAAGGAUUUUUAAUGUUAAAACCUCUCAUUUGUUUUGGGUAAAAAUUCAUAAACUAAGUAUUUAACGAAAAACUUCCAAAUUAACUUUAUUUAAUAAAUUAAACCCUAGCACUUCAUAAAUUACUACCGGUAAAUCUUUAGUUUAGAAGUUUCUACAUUAAGUAAACAUAGUUGAGGGAUUUUACCACUAAAAAUAAAAAAAAAUCAAAAAAAUUUAUCUAAAAAUUAGUAACUUAAAUUUUCAAAAUUAUCAUUUUUAAUUUUUUUUUGUAAAUAUAUGAGUUUGAUGUAUUUUUAACAUCAUCAUUAUAUAUAUAAAUUAAAAAUGUAAAGACCGAGAAAUAUAAUAAAAAUUAUAUAAAGAAUUCAGACGCAAUAAGACUUUCUUCCCUAACUUCCGGUAAGACAUAUAUAUUCCAAAAGCACAAAAUACUAUGGCGGUUAAGCUUGCACGUGGUACGAAGAGUUCUCAUUCAGCUAUGUUAUAUGUCAAUUCAAUAUUUUCGGUUUAGCUUUCUGAAUCGCGCGAUCCAGUUACUUAGUUCUCGCUUAUGUUGUCAAAAAAUUACUAAUUUUUAAACAAUAUUAUAAAAUUUUGAAUUUUUAGAUUUUUAAUGGUAAAACCCUUUAACUAUGUUUACUUAACGUAAAAACUCCUAAACUAAAAAUUUACCAAUAACAAUAGUAAUUAUGAUAUGGUAGAAUUUAAUUCAUUAAAUAAUUUUAGUUUGGAGUUUUUUUUAAUAUUUAAUUCGAGAGUUUUUACCCAAAAUAAACUAAGUUGACGGUUUUAAUGUUAAAAAUUCUAAUAUUUUCUUGCUAAUAUAACCCACGUGGAUAUAAUAGAGAGAUCUGUAAUGAAAUAAAUAAUAAUACGAUAAAAAAAGAAAAAGGAAAAGCGUUUAGAAAGCAAAAAAAAACAAAAAGCUGUGAGAAGGCAAUGGAGGACGGCGAGAUCGAGGAAGGAAUGGUGACGGCCGAUGAGUAUCCGACGUCGGAAGCCCCGCGGCGAGAGCCGGUGAAAUCUGCACUGGAGUUGCUUAGAGAGAGCAAAACAUCAGUGGAAGAAAUCGUAGGAAGGAUGCUCUCGAUCAAAAGAGAAGAAGGAAACAACAAAUCGGAGAUUCGAGAACUCCUCACGCAGAUGUUCCUCAACUUCGUGAAUCUCCGUCAGGCGAAUCGCGCGAUUCUGACGGAGGAAGACAAAGUGAAGGCGGAGACGGAGCGAGCGAAAGGCCCAGUCGAUUUCACGACGCUGCAGUUGCACAAUCUCAUGUACGAGAAGAGCCAUUACGUCAAAGCUAUCAAGGCUUGCAGAGAUUUCAAAUCCAAGUAUCCCGACAUCGAUCUCGUUUCGGAAGAGGCUUUCUUUCGUGAGGCUCCUGAAUCUAUCAAGGAUCAAUCUGUUGCAGCUGAUACUUUGAUGCCUAAAAGACUCAGUUUUGAGCUUCAUCAGGUUGGUUCUGCAUUUGGCAAUGAGUGUAUUGGCCCUAACCCUUUAUAUAUUAGUAGAUUAAUUCUUAUAUUUUCGAUGUGGCAAUACUCUCCUUCACAUCUGUAUAGUAGUAGUAGUUGUAGUAAAUUAGGUCAAAUGAUCUUAUCGUUCUGAUACCAUGUUAGAUUCGGGUUUUAUUGAAUGUUUUCUCAAGGGUGUGUUUUUGAUUCAGAGGAAAGAAUUGUGUAAGCAUCGAGCGAGAUUGGAGCAAAAGAAGAAGAGUUUACUCGAAACCAUUGCGGAGCGCAAGAAGUUUCUCUCAAGUCUUCCUGUGCACCUCAAGUCUCUCAAAAAAGCGUCCAUUCCUGUACAGAACCAGUUGGGUAUCCACCACACCAAGAAACUGAAGCAGCAUAGUCUAGCUGAGCUGCUUCCUCCUCCCCUUUAUGUAAUUUACUCUCAGCUUUUGGCACUAAAGGAAGCUUUUCAAGAGAGGAUCGACUUGGAGCUACUUGGGAGCCUUAAGGAUGCUCAAGCUUAUGCUAGACUGCAAUCCAAAAAGGACUCUGGUGAGUUUUUGUCAAAAGUUUUACUGUCUUCUGUGACUGAACCGAACCGAACCGAGAGGAAAGCUAAUUUGGUGUUCUGGUCUUUUAGGCAUGUCGAGUAAUACAGAGAGUUCUAGGUUGGAGGAUGAUGGACCUGAUGAUGAUGAUG